AAGCACUGCCGACUGAGAGGAAGAGCGUGAACUUUGGAAGCCAAGGAGGAUUCUUUACCAGCUGAGCUACCAGGGAAGUGAGAAGGUGGCCACCUGCAAUUCAAGAGAAAACCUCUCAUCAGAACCUGACCAUGCUGGCACUUUGAUCUCAGACUUCUAGCCUCCAGACUGUGAGAAAAUGGAGGCUCAGAAAGGCUAAAGCGUUUGCUGAAGAUCAUACACAGCUGGUCAAGUGUGCUGGCCCAUCUGCAGCCCCCUUGAUGUGUGCUGAGCACUGCUUAACUAUUAAAACACAUGUUUUAACACAUGUGUUCACUAGUUCCUUAUACCCAUCCCGGUUCAUGGAGGUGUGUGAACAUCAGGACCAAGGCCACCUGACAAUCACAGGGGGACCU